AUCACCAAGAGAAAAAGGAGAGAAAGUUCUUGGUUCAUAAAUCUUCAAAGCUUGAUUUCUUCUGAACUAAAACUCAAAUCAAAACACCGAUUUCACCAAAAUGAUCCUCUCUUCUUCCUCUACAUAACCAUGUGAAUUAUCAAGGCUGGAAAUAAGGAGGAAAAAGUGCUUAAGGACCACCUGAAAGUUUGAUUGAAUUAGGAGCAGCAAAACCAGAUGGAAGCAUGAGUACCCUUCCGUAGUUCGCUGAUGACCGUUCGUAAAGAGAAUUCCGCUCUAGGUAGUCUUCUGAGUCUAGGGUGAAUCUCUUUAUCUAUGUAUAUGUAUAUACUGUGAGACCAGCCAACGUCUGCACCCCGUUCGUAUACGCACUUUAACCUGAAUCCUGUGUACGAGACUCCCGUUGUGUGGCUACUUGAUGAGGUACCAGAGAGACGUCAUGUGGCAAUGUCUGAUCGUGCAGAGGAGUAACAAAUGAUGUUCUACCUUUUGAUGAUGUUCCACCUGACUUGAGUUUUGAAGACCUAGAAUGUAC